GGGAAUAAACAGGAGGUGGCGGCGGCGGUGGAGAUAAGUAUGGAUAAAUUGGUGGAGGAGGUGAAUGUGGUGGUGGUGGUGGAGAAUGUACCGGAGGUGGCGGUGAAUGGUGUGGCGGUGGCGGGGAGUUAUAGUAGUAAGGAACUGGUGGAGGUGGGGAAAACAAUGGAGGUGGUGGAGGGGGUGAAUUUGGUGGUGGAGGAGGUGGAGACCUCACACAGUAUACUGGUGAAGGUGGUGGAGGAGAUGGUGGAGGUGGUGAUGGAUAAGUAGGUGGCGGGGGUGAUGGUGGAGGUGGGGAUGGAGGUGGUGGUGGUGGAGAGUAAACUGGUGGAGGUGGUGAAGGUGGUGGAGGUGAGGGGGGUGGUGGUGGAGGUGAAUACACAGGUGGCGGGGGCGAUGGUGGAGGCGGAGGAGGAGAGUACACAGGUGGCGGCGGAGGUGGAGGUGGUGAAGGGGGAGGGGGAGAGUAUACUGGCGGUGGCGGCGGCGGAGGUGGUGAUUGUGGAAUAAAAACAGGCGAUGGGGGUGGCGGUGACAGCACAACAACCGGCGGCGGAGAAGGCGGAGGAGGAGACGGCAAAGAAGGAACAAAAGGAGCAC
rnacentral:lncRNA from 1 species